AAAAUAAAAGAAGAAGAAAAAGAAAAAGAGAAGAGGGAAAAGAAAAGAAAAGAAAAGAAAGAAGUAAUUAGUUGUUAAACAGCUCUUAAUCCAACUAAUAAAAAAGGUUAAUCACCCAUUAAUUAAAAAUCCAAUUACCAUUUCUUUUCUGUUCCCCAAAAAUACACACACAUACACACAUCUGAUGUGCUCAUCCUCUUUCUCUCUCCUUCCACACGCAAAUCGAGACCAAUUAAAAUAACAGAUUCUCGAUGAACAAAAAGAAAAAAAAUAUUUCAAUUAAAUAAAUAACGAUUAAAAAUCUAGGGUUUCGAAAUCCAUCCUCUCUCUCUCUCUCUGUCUCCAUUCGAUUUUCCUUCCCUCCAAACGCCAUUGCUGCUGUCUUUUUCUGUUUUUCAUUUUCCCGGGAAAGUUGGACAAAAGUUUUAUUGGUCUAUUAUAUCUUUUUCUCUUUAUAUUGUAGCGCGGUGAUCUCAAAAUAUUUUCUCUCUCUCGUUUUCUCCGGGGAAUUCAUUUUCCCGGGAAAAUCUUCACCUUUGAAUUUCUCGGAUUCUUCUCUGAAUCACGCUUUUCUAUUUCGUAGGUGUUUUGCAUGUGAUUAACUGAUCUGAGAGGAAAACUAGGCGGUGUUUGGAUUUGACGAAAGGAAAUAUAUUGGUGAUAUUAGAGAAGAUCUAUUAGACUCAACGGAGAGAGAGAGAGAGAGAGAGAGAGAGAGAAAGAGUUAGAAUUUUGAGAUUAUUUUGUAGUAGUAAAGAAAUGACUGUUUGUUGAUUAUGAAUUGGAUCUUUCAAUCACCUUGAUUUUGUUGGAUGCUAAUUGUUUAUGGAUUUGGAAGUAUUUUCACCUACUGCUGCGCCUUCGCGGCCAAGAGAUUUGGUGAAAUGUUGUAAUUGUGGGUGUAGUUGUUCUUUAGUAGCUUCUUCAUCCCCGGGUUCUUCUUGGCUUCGCUCUGUAAAACGAAAGUUUGAUGAGUUUGAGGAGGGUAAUCGAUUCUUUAUACCUGGGUUUGAUCUCUUCUCAAAUCCACGUGUGCAAAUUGAGAAUGAAUGUGCUGCACUACGGGAAACAGUUAGUAGCCAACAGCAAGCAAUUCAGGAUUUAUAUGCUGAACUGGAAGAGGAGAGGAAUGCUUCUUCCUCAGCUGCAAAUGAAGCAAUGUCUAUGAUAUUGAGGUUGCAAAGGGAGAAGGCAGAGAUUCAAAUGGAAUCAAGGCAAUUCAAGCGUUUUGCUGAGGAGAAAAUGGCUCAUGAUCAGCAGGAGCUUUUAGCUUUGGAGGAUAUAUUGUAUAAGAGAGAGCAGGCUAUUCAGUCACUUACUUGCGAGGUCCAGGCUUAUAAGCAUAGGAUGCUGAGUUAUGGGCUGACUGAGGCAGAGGUUGAGGGGGACAAGGGUGAGAGGAGUGGGUUUAGCCGUAACCCAAGUAUGGCUGAAAAUCUGGAUGCUGCUCAAUUUGAGUUUCCAUUGUAUGAUUACCCUCCCCUAAAAUGCAGUUUGAAUGAGAAUCCAAAUGCUUUGGAGGCAGAGGGGGAUGAUGAUGUUGUGGAUGUUGAGAAAUAUGCUUUUGGUGAGACUCCUCGUCCUCGGGAUCAUUUGAAGAAUUUGGAAUAUAGGAUCAAUCAGAUGGAGAAGAGUCCCAGUAGCAGUCAAUUAGAUGGGGAACCCUCUAGUGCAAAAAAUAUUCUAGAGAAGGUGAUAGUUGGCCACUCUCCCAGGCUGCCAAGACAUAACAGGGUCUUCUCCGGGGAUAGUUCAAAUUCUUUUAUGGGGAUGCCAAGAGAAGCAGGUCCAGAUAUUGCCAAUGAAUCUCCUCGGUUCAAGUUUAGCAACAGCUUUAAGAAGAUGGAUUAUGUUACUCAUUCAGAAGACCACUCAAAUUUGAGAAGGGUGGAUAAUGCAUCAGAUUUUGGAGAUGACAUGAGUGACAGAGUUUAUACCAUUGAUUCUAUUCAUAAUGGGGUACCAUCUAAUGGUUUUACUGAACCAAAACCUGGAGUUGGGAUUUCCGAAGAUUAUAUUUCCACUCCAAGGGAUAUAUUGAAUCGGCCUGAUGUUAGUGAUCCUGACAUUAAAAAGCUGUACAUGAGACUUCAGGCACUUGAGGCUGACAGGGAAUCUAUGAGGCAGGCAAUUAUUUCAAUGCGGACUGAUAAAGCACAGAUGGUGCUGCUGAAAGAAAUAGCUCAACAUUUGAGCAAGGAAAUGUCACCAGAAAGACGAAUGCCUGUGAAAAAGCCAUCUAUUGUUGGAACCUUUUCAUUCAUGUCAAUAUUCAAGUGGAUCAUAUCCUUCAUUUUCUGGAGAAAGAAAGCUCGUCGAAGCAGGUAUAUGUGUGGGCUUUCAGCCACCAACGUUGGUUUGCUUCUGCUUUUGGACAAAGGUCCCCGUACAAGGCAGUGGAGAUGUCUUACAAGUACACAAGUCUGAAGCCACUAGUCAAACUACCAUAUCCAUUUGAAGCUGAUGGUCAGACAUGUGAGCCCCAAGUGGAUUUGGUCACCUUGCCUUAAAAUUUUUUUGCAUUCUUUUCCUGUAUUCGUUGCCACUGCAGAUUUGAGUGUUUUGUGCAGUGUUCUUUGAUUUCAAUUUCCCUGGAUUGAAUAUAUUUUGCUUGUUGGUCGGUGAAGAUGGAUUGUGCUAUGGGUAUGCUAGCCCAUGUAGUUUGUUGGAAUGUUAGCUUGAGUUUAUACCGAGUGGACAAAUCCAGCUAAUCCACAGAUUGAGAACUUGCAAAGACAAGGCUAUAGGGAAUGCGACAAACUUGUAAGUUGGGUUAAUAUUAAUCUGUUAUUACUGUGGUUCUAUUUUAACUUGGAAAAUGGACUUGUUCUCUGGCCUUUAACGGUGACUUUUUCAAUACUGGUGUAUGAGCUGUUUUGCCUUUUUCUGAGCUGAUCUCCAUGAUCUUGGGGUUGGCACGUACUAUAUUUGAUACAUAUUAUAUAUUUAGACCAAAUUUGGAUGGUCGCAGUCCACUUAUUCUUGGUCGCACAAGCACUUGCUGUUAAUUGUUUUUGUUUAGAUUACAGAAUGGCAUGGAAACAUUUAAGUUGCUUUAGAUUCGAGAACUGCCCAAAUGUUGCACGAAAUUGUGAUAGCGAGCUAAACCAAAAGGCGGAUGGUUUUGUGGUUGUGUUUUUGUUAUCCAAUUAAUGGUGUUCAAUAAUGGCUUAAGAAUUGGUACAAAGUACAUAAUGCAAGAAUUUUUUCUCUAA